rnacentral:lncRNA from 1 species
GCCUCCGAGUUCUCCUUCUCGGAUUCCUCCUCCUCAGCUCUUCAGCGGGGUCCUGAAAUGGUUUCCCCAAAUUGGGAUGAGACUACGUCUCAGCGAGUUCUACCCCACUAAGCCCGAUUAGUAAACUAUUAUACUAAAGGCUGCCUAAACACACACAUGGCAGAUGACUUACCUUGACCUCAGAUCCCACCUGCAAGUCAGUAUAAUUCAUAAUAAACACCCAUUCACUUCAAACAAAUCAAACUAGUCGAUUACAUGUCAUACAAUUCAAUCCCCACUGUGGGAUAUUUAAAAGCUAGGCCACGUGCAUUCUCCAAGACGACCUUCCAAGUCUCCGAGCCACGUACCUCAAACCUCGGACCCGCGUGCAUUCUCUAAGGCGACCUCUUCGCCAAGGUGGUACAUCAAGCCACCGAGCCACGUGUCCUUUUUACGAUGCCCGAGCCCACGUGCAUUCUCUAAGAUACUCGCUUACCAAAGUGACGUAUCAGAUCACCGAGCCACGUGCCCUUUUAUCAUCAUUGAUAAAAUAUCGUGCAUUAGUACACGAUUGGCCUUAGCCAAAAUAUAAUGAUUUCGAUUUCACAAUUCCCACCAUUAUUAGCAUCCACCAAAACGUUUUUGGUGCUGUCAACCGACACCCGGUUAUUUUCCAAUUAAUUAUCCAAAUUAAUUAAUCCAGGAAGAUAAUCUUUUAAUCAUAAUUAAUUCAUUUUAGCACAAAAUAAAAUUCAGUUAAAUAAACGGACUGUGCCAUGAUGAUCAGCACGAGAUUUCGGUCGUCGGCCAUCAAAAUCUUAAUUUCCGAAAAAUUAUUAAUUAAUUAAUUAAUUUCGAAAAUUAAUUAUUAAAUAUUAAAAAUUCCAUUUAGCUCAAAAUAAGGCCCAAUUAAAUAAACGGACUGCACCACGAUUACCAGCAUAAAUUUCCGGUCACUAGCCAUCUCAAUUGAAUUUUCGAAAAAUAAAUAAAUAAAUAAUUAAUUUCGAAAAUUAAAUAAUUAAUAUUAAAAAUUCAAUUUAGCUCAAAAUAAAGCCCAAUUAAAUGAACGGACUUCACCACGAUCAUCAGCAUAAUAUUCCGGUCACUGGCCAUCCCAGUUGAAUUUUCGAAAAAUAAAUAAAUAAUUAAUUUAAUUCCGAAAAAUAAUAUUUAAAUGCCAAAAAUCCCACUUAGGCCCGAAUCGCCAAAUUGAAGCUCGCUAAGGGUCGGGAAAAAUCCCGAGGCACUUCCGAUAAUUAGUAGACCAUGUCUACUUGCUAAUUACACAUUCAAUUUAUUUAAUUCGCAUCACAAUUGGCUAAUAAUUGCUAAUUUAUUCUAAUCUAACAACCUAAACAUAAUUAAUUAAAUCUAAACCAACCUUAAGCAUAAUUAGCCAACUAAUCCUGAAUUAGUGAGAUUACUCACCAAAUCGCGCGCAAAUCGAAUCAAUCCGACGAGGGCAACGCGAGGAACGAUUCUUCCCAAAGCACGGCUCGGGUUCGGGGCCCGGAAACGGCCCAAAACGAGCCCGAAAGUGCUGGAUACCCACUUCGUGGGUUGAUGGACGAGACUGGCCGAGGCUGCUCCGGCGGCUAGGGCGGCGAGGGGAGGCCAGCGUAGGCUGAGGGGGACGCGGGGGAGGUCCAACGGGGCUGGGCGGUGGCUGGAGGUGGCCGGACGGGGGCUGCUCGGGGCGGAACCGAGCUGAGCAGGGGCCGAUUCGCGCCGGGGAGGGGGGGAAGGAGCGGCAGCGGCGGGACGGCGGGUGCGUGGGCGGGCGGAUGUCGCGAGCGUGCGAGCGGCGGUGCGGCGGCGGGACGGGCGACGACGGAGCAGCAGCUUCUGGUUCUGGUUCGCUCGCGAAGAAAGAAGGAGAAGAAGAAGCUGGUUCGGUCGUGUGCGGGAAGGAAGAAGAGAGAGGAGAGAGAAGAGAGAAAAGAGAAAAGAAAGAAAAAGGAAAGAAAAGAAGAGAGAGGAUAUGCAUUGACCGGUCAAAAGGGAAGAGAGAGAGAGAAUAGACGGUGGGGGAAAAGAAUUCGCACGAAGAGGGGAGGGGAGAGGAGAGAGAAAAAGAGAGAAAAAGAAAAGGAGAGAGAGAAAGAGAAAAGAAGAGAGGGAGAGAGAGAAAUAAAAUAAAAUAAUACCAUUAUUCUUAUUUUAUUUUUUUUCUUUUUCCCUUUUUAUUUCCUUUCGGUCUUCAAUUUUUCCUCCGAUAAUUUCUUUAUUGAAAUUUCGGACUCGCCAAUAAAUUGACAGGCGAUGAGACGGUCCUAAAAAUGAAUUGUAACAUGCUCGAAUAUUCGAUUCCCAAAACCGAAUUAAAUUUCAUGAUUAAAAUCGACCUGACGCGAUUUUAGUCUAGUCUAACCAAUUAAGUAGCUUUUAGGGAUUUUACCGCGUUUAUAUCCCUUAACGGCUUCACCCAAUAAGUUAGCUAACUUGUGAGUGAUCAGCUCAGAGAAAAAGGACCAUAGGUGUGCCGACGAUAUUCACAUUUCACUUUAUCGAAAAUGGGUCGAAUUUCAGGAUGUCACAACUCUUCCCCUCUUAUAAAAAUUUCGUCCUCGAAAUUUAAACCCUUACACACUUUGCUCAAAAAGGCGAGGGUACAAUUGUCUCAUCGACUCUUCAGUCUCCCGAGUUGCUCCUUCAAUACCGUGGUGUUGCCAUACCACUUUGACCAACAGAAUGGUCUUUGUACGCAGAACUUGCUCUUUACGAUCGACAAUUUGAACCAGGCUUUCAGCGUAUGACACACAGUCAUCCACGUCCAAUUCCUCGAAAUUGGGUACGUGGGUCGGGUCAGGCUCGUACUUCCUUAACAUCGACACGUGAAAGACGUCAUGCACUUGCGCCAAUCUUAGCAGUAACAAAAGACGAUACACUAGGUUUCUGAUUCUUUCAAGAAUCUCAAACAAACCUACGUACUUCGAACUCAGUUUGCCUUUCUUACCAAAGCGCGAAGUUCCCCUCAUUGGUGACACUUUCAGAAAAACGUGAUCACCAACUUAGAAUUCCAAAGACCUUUGACGCUUGUCUGCAUAACUUUUCUGCCUGCUCUGCGCUGUCUUUAAUCUGUCUCUGAUCACUGCCAUGGUAUCUACCGAUUGCUGAACCAACUUUGGGCCUGUUAUCUUCCUUUCUCCGACUUCAUCCCAACACACUGGAGUUCUGCAAGCUUUGCCAUACAAUGCUUCAAAUGGAGCCAUCUUGAUGCUCUGCUGAUAACUAUUGUUGAAGGCGAAUUCCACUAGAUGAAGCUGAUCCUCCUAACUCCCUUUGAAGUCUAUUACACACGCUCUCAGCAUGUCUUCAAACUGAAUUGUCCUUUCCGACUGGCCAUCUGUCUGAGGAUGAUAUGCCGUACUGUACUGAAGCUUUGUACCUAAAGCACUCUGCGGGCUCUUCUAAAAAGCAGCAGUAAAUCUCGGGUCUCUAUCAGAUGUUAUCGUAACUUGCACUCCAUGCAUACAAACCACUUGACGCAUAUACAGAUCUGCGUGUCUAUCUAGACUUAGGUCCUUUCGAACUGCAAUGAAGUGAGCCGACUUUGUCAGCCUGUCCACUACUACCCAAAUCGAAUCAUUCCCCCUCUGACUCCUUGGUAGUCCAGUCACGAGAUCCAUCGUGAUAUGCUCUCAUUUCCACUCUGAGAUCGCGAGAGGUUGCAGAAAUCUUCUCGGCUUACAAUGUUGGGCUUUUACUUACUUACAAGUCAAACACUUGGCCACAUGCUUGGCGAUACCCGCCUUCAUACCUGACCACCAGUAGUGUUGACGCGGAUUCUGAUACAUUUUAGUGCUCCUAGGACGAACGCUGUAACUACUAUGAUGCAAUUCAAACAAAACAUCUUCUCUAGGCUCUACAUCGUUAAGCAUAACUAAACAUCCAUGAAACCUUAGUGUCCCAUCGUCAAAAAUCAUAAAGUCAGCUUUUCCUUAAGCCCAACCUUUUUAUAUAGGACAUCAAGUUACACAUAAACAAAAUAUUCAGGUACCACUCUAGUCAGUGAUUCUCCUCUUUACAACUUCAUUUUCACAAACUGAAAUUCUAUCAACUUAACCAAAAUUUCAUUGUGCUACUUCCAUAAAGUCACUCCAAAAACGUUCUUCCUCUGAUCGGUGCAUAGUUGGUUUGUUCAUGUCCCCUUCACCAUUUUAGUGAUGCUUUAUCUGCGGUGCUUUCCCUUUGUUUUGUCCAUUAGUGAUGGCAUAUGUUCGUCCUUGAGCUGGAGGUCCGAAUGGUCUACCCUGCUGUGCAAUUAAUGGCGGGAGUCCUCGGUUUUGACCUAUCUGUGGCGGUGGCGGCAGCUGAUGUUGUCCCAUCUUUCUUUGGGGACAGUCUUUGGCUAGGUGGCCGUGCUAGCAACAUUCAUAGCAAACUCUUGUCCUAGGAAAGCAUGGGGCCAAUCCAUGUUGUCUUCCGCAGAAAUGAAACACACCAAUCCAAUUGAGUUCUGACUUUCCAAUUCCACCCUCCUUACUGGGCGAAACAUGUGAUCUACCUCCAAUCAUCGGUCCUUUCUCAAACCGAUUUCUAUCUUGGUUCAAACCAAACCGCGAUCUAGAUGUGACGGCUCGUUCAUUCUGAUCCUUCUCAAUCUUCUAAGCUCUCCGAUAUGGAUCAUUAUAAGUCUUUAGAUCGAGAAGGACUAAGGCACUCCUUAUGUCCGCUCUGAAUCCAUCUCUGAACCUCCUCGCUCGGUUCACAGGAUUCUCAAUUAACUCAGGGGCAUACCGCGAAAGUUCAGCGAACUUCGCCUCAUACUCAUCAACAGUUAGGGAACCCUAACAAAGACAUUGAAAUUCUGCCAUCUACGCCUCUCUUGCAGUCUCAGAGAAAAACUUAUCAUUGAAGGCUUCACGAAAAGUGUUCCAGUCUUGAACAGUGCCUUCUGGAAAGAUUGUUUCACGAGUUGUCAUCCACCAAGUGUCUGCAACUCCCUCCAACUGGUAAGUUGCUAACAUUACCUUCUCAGUCUCGUUGCACAUCAACAGUGCAAACACCUUCUCAAGCUUCUGAACCCAUGAAGAAGCAGCUUCGGGAUCUCCAUACCCAGUGAACAACGGCGGAUUUAACCUUAAGAAAUGCUCCACCAACUUAUGGAUUGGUCUUGCAGCGACCACUAUCUCCGGUGGAUUUUCAACAUUCAUAGCGGCUGGAGCAACGGUAGGUGCGACUGUGGGUGCGGCAGUAGGUGCGACUACAGGGGCAACUCCGGUGGCGGCAGCGGCGGCGGGGGUUGCAGCAGCCUGAGUAGCGGCUUCAACAGCAGCGGCUUGCUGAUCCAUUCUAUUACCCAUUGCUUCCAAAACACAUAAGAUCCCAUCCACCCUGGAAUCAUUAGGGGCUGCUACCCCGACAUCUACAGCAGGUGGAUUCACUCCACUUGCGCUAGCCUGUGCUGGCGCUCGACCAUGUCCGCCUCGGGUUCCAACACGAGUCGGAGCUCUACCCCGAAUAACGGCCCUACUGGUCCUCUUUGCAGGAGUUCUCGGCUUCUAAUCGCUCAUGGUGUAGCUUUACUUAACUAACACUUGUUUCCAAUUCAACAUUGAAUUAGAAACAGAGCGAUCCAAACAACAAUCAAUUUUAGCACUCAGCUAACACAGACAUGCACCAGCAUGAUUUUAAAGGCCUUUCCUACUAACUAUCCCAUGGUCAUCGCUCCUUAUCACUCCAAUCUUCAACUUCGCUCUGAUACCACUUAAACUGGAUGUCACGCCCCGAUCCUCAAGCACGCACACAUCCUUCUGGCUUGGUCGAUUUUAUAAUGCGAUAUCCCAGGACAAUGUAUCGCCGACCCUUUCAAUUUUUAAGCACAUGCGGAAGCAGUUAAAAUCCCCAGACAAUAAAACGAUGAGAUAGAAAAGCAUGGCCAUAUUUUUCAUAUUGAAAUUUAUAACCAAACUUUUAUACAAAACACAAACCACUUCAUAACUAUUCACAUCAAAAUGGAGAUCUCAAAAGAAGACAGAAACUUAGACGAACUGGGCCGUACUCAAGACCCCUCUCAGGAUUGUCUUCUUCUUCCCAAAAAUCUUUCUCCUUAAGAUUCACCUCCGAGUUCUCCUUCUCAGAUUCCUCCUCCUCAGCUCUUCAGCGGGGUCUGAAAUGGUUUCCCUAAACUGGGAUGAGAUUACGUCUUAGCGAGUUCUACCCCACUAAGCCCGAUUAGUAAACUAUUAUACUAAAGGCUGCCUAAACACGCACAUGGCAGAUGACUUACCUUGGCCUCAGAUCCCACCUGCAAGUCAGUAUAAUUCACAAUAAAC